rnacentral:lncRNA from 1 species
GUAAAAGUAGUAUUAUCGAAGUAUCAAUAGUAUCAAUAAUAUAACGAUGAUUAACCUAACAAUACAAGUAAUGUAUAAGUAAUUUGAGUUUGUAUCAAGCAACCAUAAGUCGAGUUUGACAUGCCAAAUAUAUUUCAAUACUUAUCCCAAAUCAUACGCGGUAUGAAUAGUCUAUUCAUAAAAGAUUUUUCUUUUUUAGGUCAAAAAUAACAUUAAAA